rnacentral:rRNA from 1 species
GGGUUGUGAGGUUAAGCGACUAAGCGUACACGGUGGAUGCCCUGGCAGUCAGAGGCGAUGAAGGACGUGCUAAUCUGCGAUAAGCGUCGGUAAGGUGAUAUGAACCGUUAUAACCGGCGAUUUCCGAAUGGGGAAACCCAGUGUGAUUCGUCACACUAUCAUUAACUGAAUCCAUAGGUUAAUGAGGCGAACCGGGGGAACUGAAACAUCUAAGUACCCCGAGGAAAAGAAAUCAACCGAGAUUCCCCCAGUAGCGGCGAGCGAACGGGGAGCAGCCCAGAGCCUGAAUCAGUGUGUGUGUUAGUGGAAGCGUCUGGAAAGGCGCGCGAUACAGGGUGACAGCCCCGUACACAAAAAUGCACAUACUGUGAGCUCGAUGAGUAGGGCGGGACACGUGGUAUCCUGUCUGAAUAUGGGGGGACCAUCCUCCAAGGCUAAAUACUCCUGACUGACCGAUAGUGAACCAGUACCGUGAGGGAAAGGCGAAAAGAACCCCGGCGAGGGGAGUGAAAAAGAACCUGAAACCGUGUACGUACAAGCAGUGGGAGCCUCUUUAUGGGGUGACUGCGUACCUUUUGUAUAAUGGGUCAGCGACUUAUAUUCUGUAGCAAGGUUAACCGAAUAGGGGAGCCGAAGGGAAACCGAGUCUUAACUGGGCGUUAAGUUGCAGGGUAUAGACCCGAAACCCGGUGAUCUAGCCAUGGGCAGGUUGAAGGUUGGGUAACACUAACUGGAGGACCGAACCGACUAAUGUUGAAAAAUUAGCGGAUGACUUGUGGCUGGGGGUGAAAGGCCAAUCAAACCGGGAGAUAGCUGGUUCUCCCCGAAAGCUAUUUAGGUAGCGCCUCGUGAAUUCAUCUCCGGGGGUAGAGCACUGUUUCGGCAAGGGGGUCAUCCCGACUUACCAACCCGAUGCAAACUGCGAAUACCGGAGAAUGUUAUCACGGGAGACACACGGCGGGUGCUAACGUCCGUCGUGAAGAGGGAAACAACCCAGACCGCCAGCUAAGGUCCCAAAGUCAUGGUUAAGUGGGAAACGAUGUGGGAAGGCCCAGACAGCCAGGAUGUUGGCUUAGAAGCAGCCAUCAUUUAAAGAAAGCGUAAUAGCUCACUGGUCGAGUCGGCCUGCGCGGAAGAUGUAACGGGGCUAAACCAUGCACCGAAGCUGCGGCAGCGACGCUUAUGCGUUGUUGGGUA